rnacentral:rRNA from 1 species
GAUGAACGCUGGCGGCGUGCUUAACACAUGCAAGUCGAACGGUGAAGGUGGAGCUUGCUCCGCCGGAUCAGUGGCGAACGGGUGAGUAACACGUGGGCAACCUGCCCCUCACUUCGGGAUAACUCCGGGAAACCGGGGCUAAUACCGGAUACGACCUCCUUGGGCAUCCUUGGAGGUGGAAAGUUUUUCGGUGAGGGAUGGGCCCGCGGCCUAUCAGCUUGUUGGUGAGGUAGUGGCUCACCAAGGCGACGACGGGUAGCCGGCCUGAGAGGGCGACCGGCCACACUGGGACUGAGACACGGCCCAGACUCCUACGGGAGGCAGCAGUGGGGAAUAUUGCGCAAUGGGCGAAAGCCUGACGCAGCAACGCCGCGUGCGGGAUGAAGGCCUUCGGGUUGUAAACCGCUUUCAGCAGGGAAGAAGCCGCAAGGUGACGGUACCUGCAGAAGAAGCACCGGCUAACUACGUGCCAGCAGCCGCCGCCG